UCCAAUAACUACAAGCAACAUGUGGAGCC
rnacentral:sRNA from 1 species